rnacentral:lncRNA from 1 species
CCAUGUUGUGCUACCUGGCAGCAUCCCAGCCUUUGCAUCCACAGCUCCCUUGUGUGGCCCAGAGGCAAAGGGACCCCCCUGAUGGUCUUUCCUCUCCUGUUCCAGCCUUCUCUACUCUUGACCUGAUGCCUCCCACCAGUUUGGGCAGUUCUCCUCUUCCCACUGCUGGCUUGGGCGCUCAUAAGUCAUGUUGCCUGAAUGUUUUGUGUUGGAUGUGGAAGCAGGGACCAGAGUCUGCGACUCCAGGCUCCUUCUGUCUGGUCUGAGUCCAGAGCUCCAAGAACUUUGCCUUCCCUGCUGUGGGGAACGUGUCUGUUCAGGUGGGGGAUCGCCCAUGCUCAUUUGAGGGAGUGCGAGGAGGGCAGGAGUGUGUCAGAGCAGAGGUACAGCCAGGCUGGUUCCUGUCUGAGCCAGAAAUGCUGUGUGAUGUGACCCAAAUUCCUCCAGAGCCAGGCACUGGGACCCA